rnacentral:rRNA from 1 species
CCUACGGGAGGCAGCAGUCGAGAAUCAUUCACAAUGGGGGAAACCCUGAUGGUGCGACGCCGCGUGGGGGAAUGAAGGUCUUCGGAUUUUAAACCCCUGUCAUGUGGGAGCAAAUUAAAAAGAUAGUACCACAAGAGGAAGAGACGGCUAACUCUGUGCCAGCAGCCGCGGUAAUACAGAGGUCUCAAGCGUUGUUCGGAAUCACUGGGCGUAAAGCGUGCGUAGGCUGUUUCGUAAGUCGUGUGUGAAAGGCGCGGGCUCAACCCGCGGACGGCACAUGAUACUGCGGGACUAGAGUAAUGGAGGGGGAACUGGAAGUCUCGGUGUAGCAGUGAAAUGCGUAGAUAUCGGGAGGAACACUAGUGGCGAAGGCGGGUUCCUGGACAUUAACUGACGCUGAGGCACGAAGGCCAGGGGAGCGAAAGGGAUUAGAUACCCGGGUAGUC